CAGCCGCCGCGGUAAUACGAAGGGGGCUAGCGUUGCUCGGAAUGACUGGGCGUAAAGGGCGCGUAGGCGGUCACGAUAGUCAGAUGUGAAAUUCCUGGGCUUAACCUGGGGACUGCAUUUGAUACUGUGUGGCUUGAGUGUGGAAGAGGGUCGUGGAAUUCCCAGUGUAGAGGUGAAAUUCGUAGAUAUUGGGAAGAACACCGGUGGCGAAGGCGGCGACCUGGUCCAUAACUGACGCUGAGGCGCGAAAGCGUGGGGAGCAAACAGGAUUAGAUACCCCCGUAGUCCCUGUCUCUUAUAC
rnacentral:rRNA from 1 species